rnacentral:lncRNA from 1 species
UCCUAGCGGCCAGAGUAAUAGGACAAAUUUCUCAUUUACGCACAUUUUAAACACGAGGGCAAACUUUUGCUUCAUUAAAGCUAAAUGUGUCUCGGUUUUUAUUGUGAAAUGCAUUAUUUUCACCUACUGUGCUUUUCAAGGAUCUAACGUUAUAUCAAAUAUCUGAAAGAAUUUAAAAUAGUUCUGUUUUCGUACAUAGGCAAGUACGAUAUGUUAAAGUAACAUUGCUAUUCUUAAAGCAAUAAUAAUGCAAAUUAAUGCAGUAAAAUGUACUUUUAAUGCAACUGUUAUUAAACCAGGAGGUUUUUAUACGAACACGUAAACAGGAAAUGUGUUUUAUUACAAUAAACUACAUAAGACUAAGUCAGUUCGUAUGAUUCAAUAAUAAAAGUUAUUUUCAGACAAGUGCCUAUUUUUGUGACGCACUUCUGAUAUUGUGCUUUAAGGGCAGAAGAAAAGCAUCAUGGUCUUAGAUUGAUAAACAAGGAUAGUAAUGAUGUAACGAAUAUAAAUGGAUGUUGUCAUUAGAAUGGAUAGAAUAGCGAUUAUGGUUUCGGUGUUUCUAUGGCCUUGAUCUCGUUGUUAAGUGCAAGUUAUUAUAUUGCAAUAAUGUGUAAUACAUGGAUCAAGCCUCGUUAAAUGUUAAACUAUCAGAUUUGAUAAAUACUAGUUAAGCAUGGAGAAAGGAACAUGUACCAGUAUCAAAACAUUCAUCGGACGUAUAUAAACAAUUGUUCCUUAGCCAUAGAAUAUUGAUAUAUUGAUUUGUUCGUGAAAACUAGAAAAUCGACAGUAGAUUUUGCAUUGAUACAUUUAGUUGGACAGUCUAAACAUUUUUUUGAAGACACAAACAUGAAUUUACAACAGAUGACAAUUAUGCUGCUUGUGUUAUCAUGCACGGUAGGUUUAUCUAGAGGCGCACCGGUAUCAACUGACAAGCAUCAAUUUAAAAAUGGACACGGAACUUGUGAAUGGGGCUGUAACUCUAACAUUGACGAAAAACUUAAGCUGUGUGAAGCUCUAUGUCAUGUAGACAUGCAUCAAAGUCAGUUCCAACAUCAGUUCGGCGAAACGCAAUGCCAAGGUGCAUGUGCUACCAAGUAUCUAAGCUGCUUUGAUGGAUGUCCACAGUUUUCCAGCAAGAAAUUUUCGCUUACCUGAACAGGUUUAGUGAAUAAUGAGAGAUUAAUGUGAGCUGGGUGAAUAGUGCUAGUUCGUCGAUGGCGCACAUGCAUAACCCAUGAUAAUGUGUAAUCUAUAUAUAUUUCCGCUAACAAGAGGUAUUAAUAUACAGGAUAAUAAAAUGGACUUUGAACUCUAAUAAUGAAUACUAAUGUGUUGUUUGUUUAGUUCAUUUAAUUUGAUGCAUGAAUAUUUGAAACAACUAGACUUUACGAACACAGUAAUAGACAGAGAACGGAUGACACCACUGCAAGUGAAUGCAAUUAACUGAUUCCUCUAUAUUUCACACUGAGUGUAUAAUAUGAGGUAAAGUUUCAAAGAUGUAAAUGGAACUUUUCACGAUGCCAGACAAAGCUUAUCCGAAGCGAAAAUAACUGCUUUAUACCAAUAUUUUGUGUUGUCACUAGCUUAAUGUGAAAUGUAACUUUCAAAUAUGGUAUGAAAUAUUGCAUUUGUUGUUACAAUCUGUUUAUAAAAGCUUAACUUUAUGAAUU